rnacentral:rRNA from 1 species
GACAGAGGGUGCAAACGUUGUUCGGAAUUACUGGGCGUAAAGCGCGUGUAGGCUGUCUCGCAAGUCCGCUGUGAAAGUCCAGGGCUCAACCCUGGAAUGCCGGUGGAAACUGUCAAGCUUGAGUCCGGAAGAGGCGAGUGGAAUUCCUGGUGUAGCGGUGAAAUGCGCAGAUAUCAGGAGGAACACCAAUGGCGAAGGCAGCUCGCUGGGACGGUACUGACGCUGAGACGCGAAAGCGUGGGGAGCAAACAGG